UGACUGCCUGUUGCUCCUGCCAUUCAUACUAAUCUUCAUUUUUUCUUAGUUGUUAGUCAUCCAUAUAAAGAACUGCCCCGAUGCCUGUGUAGGGAGGGUGAGUGUGAGGGUGUGUGGGUGAGUGUGAGGGUGAGUGUGUGGGUGAGUGUGUGAGGGUGAGGGUGAGCUAUGUGCUCAUCCGUGCAUGGGGGUCUGAGGAGGGGAAUCCGUUCGGAGAGGGCCAGCCACCAAACAGGACAUGUUGUGGCAAGCCACACCAUGACAAAGAACAUGUCUCUGCUAGGAAUAUGUGGGCAUCUGGCCCACGAAAAGCUCUGUGGUUCCCACUUUCUCCACAAUGAAGAAGAUGCCAGCUCAGUGGCCUUUGGCGUACGAUCUUUUCAUUAGAAUAUGGGAAAGGUGUAGAGGCCCCAAGUACAGAUACGACAUUAAAUUGGGUGGUGCGUGUAGGCGCUUUUGAAAUUUCAUUCUAAAAAAUCCAAAGUGCCUAAGUUACGUGAACACAGAUUAAGUGACACAAAAAGAACGCUUCCUUCAGAAGUAUCCGCCGCAUAAUCUCAUCUCUGCCUCACUUACUUCCUAUGCAGUAGGUCUUGGAAAAGGGAUACAUUCGCAACGAUCAAUCCUUGGAUUAACUUUUUUUAGUCAGGGAAGGGCACGGUAUUAAUUCUGAAAUAAGCUUCAGAAAAAAAUGUAAGAAGCAGGCAUGAGAUAGCCUUAAUAUACACUAGAAAGCAGUUCUAUAUAUCUUACCUAUUUCCUUUAAAAAUCUUAUGUACAUAAAUCUUGAAAUUGAUUUACAUGCCAAACUGUUUUAUCUUAAAUAUUUUCAAACGAAAAAAAUU
rnacentral:lncRNA from 10 species